ACCGCGGUAGCCUAGUUGGAGGCGUCGGCAGUACAGUAGCUGGAAGACGCAUGUUCAAAUCCUGCCUGCGGUG